rnacentral:tRNA from 2 species
GCGGGUGUGGUGUAACGGCUGCACAAAGCCCUUCCAAGGCUUUAGUACGGGUUCGAGUCCCGUCACCCGCU